GUGGGGAAUAUUGCACAAUGGGGGAAACCCUGAUGCAGCGACGCCGCGUGAGCGAAGAAGUAUUUCGGUAUGUAAAGCUCUGUCAGCAGGGAAGAAAUUGACGGUACCUGACCAAGAAGCCCCGGCUAACUACGUGCCAGCAGCCGCGGUAAUACGUAGGGGGCAAGCGUUAUCCGGAUUUACUGGGUGUAAAGGGAGCGCAGGCGGUUCUGCAAGUCUGGUGUGAAAGCCCGGGGCCCAACCCCGGGACUGCAUUGGAAACUGCGGGACUUGAGUGUCGGAGGGGCAAGUGGAAUUCCUAGUGUAGCGGUGAAAUGCGUAGAUAUUAGGAGGAACACCAGUGGCGAAGGCGGCUUACUGGACUGUAACUGACGUUGAGGCUCGAAAGCGUGGGGAGCAAACAGG
rnacentral:rRNA from 1 species